CCUACGGGCGGCUGCAGUGGGGAAUAUUGGACAAUGGGGGCAACCCUGAUCCAGCCAUGCCGCGUGUGUGAAGAAGGCCCUCGGGUUGUAAAGCACUUUCAGUGAGGAAGAACGCCUGGUGGUUAAUACCCAUCAGGAAAGACAUCACUCACAGAAGAAGCACCGGCUAACUCCGUGCCAGCAGCCGCGGUAAUACGGAGGGUGCGAGCGUUAAUCGGAAUUACUGGGCGUAAAGCGCGCGUAGGUGGCUUGAUAAGCCGGUUGUGAAAGCCCCGGGCUCAACCUGGGAACGGCAUCCGGAACUGUCAAGCUAGAGUGCAGGAGAGGAAGGUAGAAUUCCCGGUGUAGCGGUGAAAUGCGUAGAGAUCGGGAGGAAUACCAGUGGCGAAGGCGGCCUUCUGGACUGACACUGACACUGAGGUGCGAAAGCGUGGGUAGCAAACAGGAUUAGAGACCCGAGUAGUA
rnacentral:rRNA from 1 species